GCAAACUUGGUCAUUUAGAGGAAGUAAAAGUCGUAACAAGGUCUCCGUUGGUGAACCAGCGGAGGGAUCAUUACAGAGUUGACCCGAACUCUUCAAACCCCUGUGAACAUACCUCGCGUUGCCUCGGCAGGCGUCGACCCGACGCCGGCCGGCGGCCCCCCAAACUCUUGUUUUUACUAUGGAAUUCUGAGCCCGUAUGGGAUAAGCAAAUCAGUUAAAACUUUCAACAACGGAUCUCUUGGUUCUGGCAUCGAUGAAGAACGCAGC
rnacentral:misc_RNA from 1 species